rnacentral:misc_RNA from 1 species
AUUUGAGACGAUUAUUUGAUUCGUUUUUUCGGAAUCUCGCCGGUGAUUUAUUUGACGCCGGAGAUCUCGAGUUCACCGGCGAUCAAUUUAUUGUUUGAUCGGUGACGGAUUUUUUUAUUUUAUUUCUGGUGGUAAUAGGAUGGUGAAUUUUUUGGUGGAACGAGCGACGAGCGAUAUGCUCAUGGGACCUGAUUGGGCAAUGAAUGUCGAGAUCUGCGAUAUAUGCAGUCGUGAUCCAGCGCAAGCGAAAGAUGUUGUGAAAGGAAUAAAAAAGCGUCUUGGCAGUAGGAGAUCAAAAGUCCAGCUACUCGCCUUGACACUUUUGGAAGCAAUUGUGAAGAAUUGUGGAGACAUUGUGCAUAUGCACGUCGCUGAGAAAGGUCUUCUUCAUCAGAUGGUGAAAAUGGUAAAG